rnacentral:ncRNA from 1 species
UUAAUAAUAGGGCAUACUUACUGAAAGGUAAGGACGCAAAGCUAUGGGUCUAAGGGUGAAAUUACUAGAUUUCACCUAUGAUUGCCAGGUUGCAGAU